CCAUGGCUGCUGAGCCUGCGCGUCCGGAGCCUGUGCUCCGCAACGGGGGAGGCCACAACAGUGAGAGGUCCGCGUACCGCAAAAACAAACAAAAAAGUAUUUGAGGACUUUUCACCUCCCACCCUAUGAAAUUUUGAAUCAUGUAUAUGAUCUAUGUAAGAAGAAUACUAAAGAGGUUGAACUCUUUAUAGCCGAAUACAGCCUUAAAUCUGCUUGUACAGCAUCCACUGACAGAAGUAAUAGUCGUGCCUCAGACUUAACGGGUUGCAUGUGGCCUUGGGGGAGUUACUACCCUUGGUAUGCAAGAGUGCUUCCUAUUAGCAUCACUGGAACUCAGUAUCCGUACUCCAUGUGUAUCCACAAAAGGGAACUUGAGACCCACCGUUAUUUUUAACUUCUGACAUUAAUGAUCAUAUGUGUACUGCUGAAUUUAACUCAGUGUAUUUCAGGUAAGUGAAAAUGGUGCUUAAUAUAGUCUUUAGAAUGACUUUCAGGUGUUUUCAACUAAAAACAUAUAUAUCCAGAACUACUUUCUUACAGAAAUACAAGUAAGGCUUGUGAUAAUUUGCCUUCAAAACUUAUUUCUUAAUCUCAGCAGUAUCCAAAUGAGUGAGGAACAUUUGACUGACCCUUGGGCCACCUCUAUUACUCAUUGUACUCUGGAAGCUCUUGGUGAAUGUUUACAAUCAUGGGAUGUAGUAUUUCUAUUUGUACUUAGAAUCACAUGCUUACCUAGAAUAAUUAUGUGACAACAGAUAGAAAGACUUGCUCUGUUAGUAAAUAUGCAGUGUGUACUCUAUUUAAGGUUCUGUGCUAGUAUAACACGAUUGAAUGUCAUUAAGUGUAACAGCUGCCGCAUUUGGGGGACAGGGCAGUAGGGAGAAUGAUUUCCAAUCCUGUGAUUAAAAGUAUAAACCAUAGAAUCUACUGUAGUACAUUUCAUCAUCUAGAAGUUUUACUUUUAUAAAGAUGGUGUCUAGAAGAUGUUGCUAAUGUAUUUUCCUUCAACCUGGGGAAAAAACUUUUUAAGUAUAUUAAUAUUCCUGUAUGGUUAGUUUUUAACAAUUUUUUAAAAUAAACCUUAUGGAUACGACAUACUUUACGUGUUUUAUUCAAUGCUUGGGUAAGUGUUUUAAGUUUUUGUGCUGGAGCUAAUAUAUAGAACAUUUUUGUCUGAAUUUAGUUGAAAGUCAGUAUCUACUACUGAUGCUCAUUCCUUUAAAUAAUAUCUCACGUGAAACUUAUAACCAACACUUGACACAGACUAUUUAUGCCUUUAAUUAUCUUUGAACACAGAAUAUAACCUCAUAGUUAAUUUUAUGCCACUUCUUAGAAGUUGUCAUUUGUUCUUUUUUAGUCUACAUUCAUAAAACAUUUUAAAGAUUAUAUUGUAUAUUGUACAUACAUUGCUUAUAUAUGUUGACCGUUCAUUUAGAAAAAAGUUACUGAAUGAGUAAUCUUUCUAUGGUGCUGCUACUACAAGGUUUAUUUCUACUGUUCUAUAAGCCCCUUCUCAUCAUAGCAAAGGAAUGACAUCCUGCUCGUCUUGUAGAUGUAUUCCUGGCAUCUUCUACAUAUUCAGCACUGAAAAAUGAAGAGAGCAUUUUUGGAGCACUUGCAGUCAUUACUGGGGCCUGGUUUUAUGUGUCUCACACCCUAUGAGGCUUCCUUCACCAGGGUACCUACUCCUCAGGGUGCUCACGGAAGAGGAGGAACUUCUCUCACUCUCAUUCCGUCUCUCUGCUCUGCCUUCUCUGAAGCACACCUGGGUGCUGCCUGGAGCCCAGGUCUGGCUCCAAACCUAUGAAUAUUUGCCAAGUAUAAAAGCUUCUCAAGAAUGAGAUGGAUCCUGGGGCAUCCUCCCCAGAGAAACAGGAUAAAGAGAAUUUAGUGGGGGAUGUUUAUGUGCUGUUAGCAUGUGACCUAGUCACCUAGACCCAGAAGUGAGAUAGCCAGCACUGCCACUUGAAAAGCUCAACUACGGGUAAGCUAAGAACCCCUGUGUCAAGCCUGGUCUUUGAAUGGCAGGUUUGGGAGUUGCUGCUGCAUUUGACUGGCGGGGUGGAGCCCCACUGGAUUUACCAUGAGGAAGCUGCCGGGCAAGCUGCCUCUGGCGGAGGGGGAAGGUCACGAGCGGGGCACACGAGGGGGCUUUAAUUGUGUUGGCAAUGCUUAAAUUCUUUAGCUGAAAGGGGGUAUAUAAGGUAUGAAAAACAUUAUUUUUACACCUUUUUGAACAUUCCAUUUCAAAAUAUAUUUUAACUCUUUCUUAAAAAGACCAAAUGGUAAAAAAGAAACUUAGUAUAACCGUGUCUGAAGUUCAUGGAACUACUAAGCUCAGAUCAUCCUUCUGUAGUUGAGAUGUAAAUCUGACAGUUUAGAAGACUCUUGGGAUUAUGGAAUUUUGUAGUCCUAGGAGUACAAGGAUGAUAAAAUCAUCAUCUAGCUCUGAUUUGGUAGUUUUGCACCAAAAAUCUUGUGUGUCUCUCUCUCCCUCUCUCCCUCUAUCUUGUUUAAGGUUCUAAAAGUUAUCUGAAAGAACUUAUACAGUCAGUGACCAGAUCGCUUUAGGAGGUAGAAACCUGCAGGGGUUAGGGUUUUAUUGUAUGUUCUCCUUGAAAAUGCAGUUCGUGCGCAUAGAGAGGAGUCAUCAUCUGGAUGGAACAGAACAUCCACAAGUGAUAUUUAGAAUUCCAUCUGGAAAAAUAAAUCAAUAAAGGAAAAUUUAAAAAAUAUUCAGUUGUCAAAGCAAAAUUGAACCAGACAAAAUUAAAACAGGCAAGAAAGCAAAACCUUAGACAAGCUUACUGCCAUAGGAGAGAAGCCAAACCUCAAUCUGAACCAACACCACUGAAACAAAGGGGUGUGGAGUUUUGGGGGUUUUUGUUAUUGUUGUUGUUGUUUCUGGCCACGUCACAAAGCUUUCGGGAUCUUAGUUCCUCGACCAGGGAUUGAACCCGGGCCCCAGCGGAGAAAUCGCUGAGUCCUAACCACUGGACCGCCAGGGAAUUCCCCAGGGUGUGGGGUUUUUAAAGACUGGAGUGCGCUAGUGAGAAAGCAUGAAGGGCUUUGUGCGGUGCUUAUAGGCUGUCUGGGUUUGGUUUGCUAAUAAAAUUCUCACAUCUUUAUGACAGGGUGUGUUUUUACAACUGGGAGCAUGGUACCUACUGAAGUUAGGCUCCUACUGGCCCACAGAGACUGGGAGCUAGGGAUGCUAUCUACCUGAUGAUUACAUUUCAAGAGAAUGGCUCCCAGGUCCUUGAGAAAGAUAGUCCCAGAUUGUAAAACUGGCAAGAGGCUUUUAAAAAGACUUACACCUCAAAGGGGCAGAGAAAGGAUUUACAAAGUUAAGCGUUCUAAAGGAAAUGCUCAAGGGAAAGGGAAAUCUCUUUAAUGGCGAGGCAAGCCCAAGGAAAUGUUAAGACCUCUAGGAAAAUCCUAGUCAGUGGCCUGGCCGACUAGAAGGCCUCCUGAUAUGGCUAAUAAUUCCUUUACAUGUAAUUUAUUUAACUCUCACAACUAGUUAUUGUUGGGUUAACAGAAGGAGAGUAAGACCUCAGCAGGUUUAGUGACUCAUGAGAUGUCAUCUAGCUUUCAAAUGGCGGCGUCUCAAUUUGAACACAGGGUCCCCCGACCAAGGACCUGCACUUUCCAUCCCUGUGAGGCAUUGUCGCCUGUCUGUCCCUAGGCUGGCUGUGCUAAAGCUCUUCCCGCCUCUCUGUCCUCUUCUUUCUGAGAAUUCAGAACAAGCAGUGAGUUUCCCAUCUUCAAUGCUAGCCUGCCCGUAGGAAUCCUCUGGUCUCUGUGUGAAUCAUUUAUUGAGGUAUGAGAUACAUACAGUAAAGUGCGCAAGUCUUAAGUGCUUGGCCUGACAGACUGAAUACACAACAGACAAAGGCUGGACCAUAUCUAAAAAUAGAAUUCUGACCACCAACUUGCAGCAACCAGCCCAGAAAACCAACCUUUUAUCUAAAAUAAUCAGCCCAGGAAGCCAGCCUGCUUGAUGUCAGAUUCUCAGGAAACCACAUUGUUAUCGGAAGCUACAUAAUUACUUCUGUAACAUUCAGCCCCAAAUGGCCAGGACUUGAUUAAUAAGUGACAGCUCCCCUGCUUUUUGUCCCCGAUUCCAAUUUAGGUCCAGCAAAAGAAAACCAAGCAGGUACCCCUACACCAAUCACGUAGGAUGCUCUGCUUCUAUUUUGUCCACCUACAGCUUCCCUAGGCCAACAGCCUCCAAUCAGGGCACACCCCCCUUUUCCACCAUAAAGCUUUCCCACUCCUCUGCCUGCCUUUGAGUCUCUGCCAAAACAUAAGUGAUAGAGGCUGACUCUUUUGUGAGAGCCUGAAUAAAUACCCUUUGCUUUUCUAGCUGGCUGAUCUUUGUUUAUUUCCACAGGCUCAAUAUGUGGAAGUCUAUGCAAUCACCACCCAGAUCAAGACAUGGAACAUUUCCAUCCCCCUAAAAAGCUUCCUUAUCUCUUCCCAGAUAAUACCCAACUGACAAAACUCCACUCACUACCUAGAGACAGUACUACUCUGACUUUAAACAUAGUAGAUUAAUUUUGCCUCUUCCUGAACAAGAUGAUACAAUACGAGGUCGUACAGUAUGUACUCUUUCUUAUACGUGGAAUCACAAAGUGUGUCUAUUGUGUCUGGCUUAUUUUGCCCAAUAUUUUGUCUAUGAGAUUCAUCCAUAUUUUGAAUACUGUAUAGCAGUAACCUUGUCUUUUUUCUUCCUGAGUAACCUUUUAUGUGAACAUACCACAACUUUAUUUAUUCAUUCUAGUGUUGGUGGGUUUGGGUGUUUCUUCAUUUCUUGGAUAUUACGAAUAAAAUUGCAAUAAACGUUCCUGAGUAUGUUUUUCACUGUAAUCAGCACUCAUUUCUCUGAGAUAUUACUUAGAAGUUGAAUACUGAGUCAUAAAGUGUGUGUUUGGCUUUAACAGAUACUUCCAAAUAGUUUUUCAAGAUAAUUGUAUUAAUUCGCGAACAUGAGAAUUCCCAUUGCUCCACACCCUUGCUAAAAUGUGGCAUCGUCAGUCUUUAGCAUUUGCCAUUCUGGAAGCUGUGUAUUUUUAUCUCAUUGUGGUUUUCGUUUUCAUUUCCCUGAUGUGUAAUGUACAUCAUUCGGUUUUGGUAUUUUAAACGCUGUCCUGUUACCUAAAUGGCUAUUUCUGCUUCGAGAGGAAAUGGCUAUUUACAGUAACACAGAUCUGUGGGCAUGGAUUGCAUAUAGAAUUGAUCUAAUAUUUAAAUACUGUUGAUCAAGCCAAAGUUGGGAAAUAAGCCACCAAGUCACCUAGUCUGUUUUAUUUCCUGAAAUUCAUUUCCACUUCUAAAGCUAUCUAAGUGCAGUUAGUGAUCUAGAAUAUUCUUCCUUAUUUCCUAGCCUCACAUGAGUUACAAAUCUUGCCUUGAGUGUUUAUCCCUAGUCCUAGAGGGUAUUUAAGUCCCCUCUGGUGCUAUGGGCUGCAUCUAAGCUCCAGGAACAAAGCCCCAGAGGCGUGCCUCGACAAAUGAAGCUUAGUUUUGCCUCACUGCCUAAGAUUGUGGAACUUGUGGGUACCACUUUACCUAAAGAGAGAUUGACAUGAUGGUGACAACACUAACCAGGAAGUUUUCUGGCUGCAAAAUGCAGGGUUGGCCUCAGUUAUCUUUAAAGUCCUUCCAACUGAAGUCCCGGAGUCCUCCCCAGUGUCAGCAGCGCUGGGCCUCAGGUUCUGUGCAUUAUGGCUCACCUUUCAUUUUGCAGAUUGAGGGAAAGAUGUUCCAACUCAUAUUUAUUUAUUUGUUGGGUCUUCGUUUCUGUGCGAGGGCUUUCUCUAGUUGCAGCG